GGCCUUCUGUCUCAUGCCUGGAAGGGAAGGAACCAGACAUCUUCAUUCUAGAAGUCUGGAGUGGGGAGGGAAGAGGAUGAGGAGUGGGAGGGAGGAGGGAGUGUUGAAAUAAGGGAGGAAGAAGGAAGGGUAGAGGGGGAGGAGAGGGUGGAAAAGGGAGGAGAAGGAACAGGCAGAGGGCAGCCUGGAGGUCUCAGGAGCCAGCACCAAGACCUGAUACUGCAUAAGAAGCUAAAAAUACUGGGCUUCCUCCCCACUGCUGUCUCAAUGUCGUUUUUGUUGUUGUUGUUGUUGUUGUUGUUGUUUUUGGGUUUUUUUUUUUUUUAAAUAAGGCAGCCUCUUUCUAGUUCUCCCCUUCCACUGUCAUUUAUUUCAGUUUUUAUCUCCACAACAAAAAUUCCUUCCAACUUUCCCCCCUUGUCUCCCUCUAAUGCUCUUCACUCUCAAAUGCUAAUAACCUCCAGCUGCAAACGGCUUAGAAGUGGCUCUAGAUUGUUUGAUCUUUGGCCUGUGAUCUGCUUUCAUCUCUCUGCUUUCAAAUGUUACUUUAGAUUUACUUUAACCUAUUAACAUGCUUGGUAUUCAUAGACACGCACACUCCAAAGCAGCUUCCAAGCGCCUCAACCCCCUCCCCAUUUUAGCCAGGCAGGAAACUGGAACUCCCAACGCAGAGUAGACCGGAACUUUCCAGUGCUGGAUGGAGGAGGAGGCCCGAAAGGCAGAAGACUGUGUCUGAGGAGGCUCUGCAGGAGAAUGGUGGGAAGGGAAGGACAGGAGGAAGAGAUGAAGGAUUGCAGAGAAGAAAACAGAGAAGAGAAGGAAACGAGAGAGGCAUGAAUAUGGAUGAAACUCCUCACCGAGACCACAAGGGACAGUUCCGAGCACCAUGGUCAGAAUCCAGAUGUGCCUGUUCCGGGCCCCAGUGAAUGCCCAGCUUCUGUUCUCUACAGUAUGAGGUCUCCUACCUCUCACUUAAAAGAUGGUACUGCAGGCCAGGAAGAGCAAGUCUCCAUCACUGUAGUGGCUCUAGGCCAAAUCUCCAAAUGAAAUCAGGCUGGGGAGAAAUGAACAAGUGAGAUGCAGAAAACAAUGUGAAGAAGAAACUCUGAAGAUUCGAAUAAUAAUAGAAAAAAAAGGCUGUCCUCUUCUCUCUGUGGGCUAAGGGGACAGGUCCUGGAGCAAAGCCGAGCCCAGAGUCUGCUGCACCGCGCAGCAGAGCACAUUCAUGAGGAAAGAGUGUGUCUUCUUCAGGGUGGCCGCUCCAAAUUCUCCAGGAUAUAGAUUCAGGAGGGGCUCCGGCCAUUGUUGAGAGUAAAAGCAUUGCUAUUUGCUGCUGUUCCAGGGAACCCUCUCAAGGGAGAGUGUGAAGGUCUUGCCUAGAGGUAUUUCUGCUGCUCUCUCCUUCUGUCACCUCCUACUCAAGGCAUGCACACACUCACACAUGCAAUAUGCACAAACACAUGUGUAAGGUCUUCAAACAUAUCCACGCACAUAUACCCAUACCCCCUGUCUUAGUCAGGGUUUCUAUUCCUGCACAACAUCAUGACCAAGAAGCAAGUUGGGGAGGAAAGGGUUUAUUCAGCUUACAUUUCCACACUGUUGUUCAUCACCAAGGAAGUCAGGACUGGAACUCAAGCAGGUCAGGAAGCAGGAGCUGAUGCAGAGGCCAUGGAGGGAUGUUCUUUACUGGCUUGCUUCUCCUGGCUUGCCCUGCCUGCUCUCUUAUAGAACCAAGACUACCAGCCCAGUGAUGGUUCCACCCACAAGGGGCCUUUCCCCCUUGAUCACUAAUUGAGGAAAUGCCUUACAGUUGGAUCUCAUGGAGGCAUUUCCUCAACUGAAGCUCCUUUCUCUGUGAUAACUCCAGCUGUGUCAAGUUGACACAAAACUAGCCAGUACAGCCCCCUUAAACACUCAAACUCCCCUGUGUGUGUACAUACUUUAAAUGCAUCCAUAUAAGCACAAGCAUGUAGCUUUUAACACAUAUGGAUGCAAGUACUUUAAAUACAUCCACACAGAUGCACACACAUGCACAUUUCACAAACAUACAAUUACAUGCGUAUACCUCUAAAGAGACCCAACCAUGUGUGUGCAUGCACGAACACAUACACACAUUGGGAUACAUGCAUAUGUGUGUGUGCUGAUACAUCUCAAUCAUAUGCACAUGCAUAUACCUCACAAACACAUGCAUGCAUUGGUACAUAUAUGUGUGUGUAGCUCAAGUGAGACCCAAUCAUACACAUAAAAAUCUUUAAGGUGCCCAAACAUGUAUUGACACAUAUUAAUCACACCCUCAUAGUCACUCAUAUGUGCCCAGUACAUGCAUAUUCUUCUGCAGGGGUGCCUUUCAAGGCAAUGCUGAUACUCUUUGGGUAGCCAGUGUCCACUCUCAGUGUCUCCCCAAGGAUGGGGUGGGGUGCUUGGGAGUCUGAAUCCCUACUGAUCUUUUUUUUUUUUUUUUUUGAGACAGGGUUUCUCUGUAUAGCCCUGGCUGUCCUGGAACUCACUCUGUAGACCAGGCUGGCCUCGAACUCAGAAAUCUGCCAGCCUCUGCCUCCUGAGUGCUGGGAUUAAAGGCAUGCGCCACCACUGCCUGGCUCCCUACUGACUUUUGCAAUAAAUGUAUCAACAUUGGGUUUCACUCCCCCACCCCAUGUGAUUCUUUGCUGAGAAGGUGAGUGACAGAUGCCUUACUCCAAGUUCCCUGUGGUUCCAGCAGGACCAGUUGUGCUGGGCUCUCUGGGUCCAUCCCUGCAGCUUAUCUUUGGUACUUUGCGGGUUCUUUUCUCUUCUACCCUUCCCUACCCAUUUUCUUUCAUCUUUUCAACCCCCUAACACUAGAUGGGAGAGAAAAAGGAUAGAGAAGAAAGGAAAGAGAACCCCAAAUAAAGCCGGGGAUUGGAUAUGGAAAGACGUUAUUGUUAGACUACUUCCUGCUGAUUAGGGGUGUUGAGUUCCUUAGGGCAAAUUUGAUCUUUGCAGUUAGAAUAUCUAAUUUCUCCUUUUUGCUGCUUCUUCUUUGCAUCUGACUACUUAACAAACUACAACCAACAUCAACCAACAACACCCAGCAAGCAACCAACCAACCCUUGCCUCUCAGGGCCCUAGCAUUUAUAUACCCUGAAAUUCCAAACCUUAUACAGUUGCAGAAACUAUCUGUAGCUGGCACAAUGAUGCCCUGGCUAGAGCUGGAGGCAAAUAGUCAGCUGCUAUGGACCAUCUGAAGCAGCC
rnacentral:lncRNA from 1 species